AACCCAGGCCUUCCAGCAGGCAAUGGCAACCCCCUUUGGGUCCCCUCCCUUUAUAUGGGAGCUCUGUUUUCACCCUAUUAAAUCUUGCAACUGCACUUUUCUGGUCCAUGUUUGUUACAGCUUGAGCUGAGCUUUCGCUCGCCAUCCACCACUGCUGUUUGCCGUUGUGCCGGACCCGCCACUGACUUCUAUCCCUCCGGAUCCGGCAGGGUGUCUGCUGUGCUCCUGAUCCAGCGAGGCGCCCAUUGCUGCUCCCGAUCAGGCUAAAGGCUUGCCAUUGUUCCUGCACGGCUAAGUGCCUGGGUUCGUCCUAAUCGAGCUGAACACUAGUUACUGGGUUCCAUGGUUCUCUUCUGUGAUCCAUGGCUUCUAAUAGAGGUAUAACACUCACCUGGCAUGGCCCAGGAUUCCAUUCCUUGGGAUCCGUGAGGCCAAGAACCCCAGGUCAGAGAACACGAGGCUUGCCACCAUCUUGGAAGCGGCCCACCACCAUCUUGGAAGCUGCUAGCCACCAUCUUGGAAGUUCUGUGAACAAGGACCCCCGGUAACAUUUUGGCGACCACGAAGGGACCUCCAAAGUGACAGAUGGAGGCUCUCUCUCUGUGCAACUGGGGGUGUGGUGAUGCAAAUAUCCUUCUGGCCACCGCCACUGGGGCCGUGCUGGGUCAGACCUGAAGGCAGCACAGCACUGGAUUUCACCUGAGGCCCUCUAUAAUCACUACCCGGCUGCCACCUAUGUUCACUCAAGACCCUAUGUUCAUUCAACGGCUCUAUAAUCAGCAGAUGGCAAAUCCAGCCAGGUUCAUGUGCUUCCCUUCAGGAUGAAGAGGUCAUGUGAGCAUUCAGUGAGGAGGUCCUCAGACCUUCCGAGAGA
rnacentral:lncRNA from 1 species